AUUUAAUACUAAUAUAUAUCUGUCUGUCUGCAUGCUGUUCGAGCAUCACAUGAAAACUACUACACCAAAUUGGAUGUAGUUUUCACAGUGGUGUUAGUGAAUGUGUAACUUAAAAUCUGAGGCUGCCAGCUGUCGACAACUCGAAGGCAGCAUGGCUGGCGGCCGAGAGAUACGAAGUGGUGAUGUCCGUGCGCUCCAUUCUAACGAAGAAGCUAGCCUGGCGCCCAGGAAAGACUCUCCAGUUAUAACUGAACAUGCAAUGUUGCCAGCUAUAUCUAUAACUUGAAUGUAUUGAGCCUCUGGACCCACCUGCCAAAAAAGAAGAAAUAUUUUAAUACUGCCAUGAAUACAAUUGUUUAGAUGUCAUGUAUUCUUAAAUAAAUAAAUAAAUAAAAAGUUAA